GAGUGAUCGAAAGAUGAAAAGCACUUUGGAAAGAGAGUUAAAAAGCACGUGAAAUUGUUGAAAGGGAAGCGCUUGCAAUCAGACUUGUUUAAACUGUUCGGCCGGUCUUCUGACCGGUUUACUCAGUUUGGACAGGCCAGCAUCAGUUUCGGCGGCCGGAUAAAGGCUCUGGGAAUGUGGCCUCCACUUCGGUGGAGGUGUUAUAGCCCAGGGUGUAAUACGGCCAGCCGGGACUGAGGUCCGCGCUUCGGCUAGGAUGCUGGCGUAAUGGUUGUAAGCGACCC
rnacentral:rRNA from 2 species